UAUCUUUCUUUUCUUAGUUGCAAAAAAAUGCUCUGCAGCUGGGUUGCACCUCAAUGAAUGAAUCGGUGCACUGUGAGCGACCAUCAUCUCUCCUCUGGAUUUCCAUUGCACCCGGCUUCCAUCCAGAACAUAUGAAUCUGCUCAGACAGAGCCCUUUGAGGAGUUGAACAGAUAGGUCGGUGAAAAUGGCACAACGCGUGGUUUUCUUUCUCCUGUGGCUCUUUGACCGCUCAUUCGCAGGAUUUCCCAACCAGAUUAAUAUCGGGGGACUGUUCAUGCGUUCCACGGUGCAGGAGCACAGCGCGUUCAGGUUCGCCGUCCAACUCUACAACACCAACCAAAACACCACUGAAAAGCCUUUCCACCUCAACUACAAUGUCGACAACCUCGAGUCGUCCAACAGCUUCUCGGUCACCCAUGCAUUUUGCUCUCAGUUUUCCCGCGGGGUGUACGCCAUCUUCGGAUUCUACGACAAGAAGUCCAUGAACACCUUGACCUCGUUCUGCGGCGCUCUGCACACCUCCUUUGUCACACCCAGUUACCCCACCGAUAAUGAGGUGCAGUUUGUCAUCCAGAUGCGGCCCGCCCUCCGGGGUGCUGUCCUCAGCCUGCUCUCCCACUACAAAUGGCAGAAGUUUGUCUACCUCUACGACACCGACCGAGGUUUCUCUAUACUGCAGGCCAUUAUGGAGGCAGCAGUAGCUAACAACUGGCAGGUGACCGCUCGCUCUGUUAGCAGCACAACAGACGCCGCAGAGUUCAAGCGCAUCAUUGAGGAGAUGGACAGGAGGCAGGAGAAGCGCUACGUGAUUGACUGCGAGGUGGACAGGAUCAACACUAUAUUAGAACAGGUUGUGACCCUGGGGAAGAACAGUCGUGGUUACCACUACAUUCUGGCCAAUCUGGGAUUUUCCAAUGUGAGCCUGGACAAAGUCUUCGCUGGGGGAGCCAACAUUUCAGGGUUUCAGAUAGUCAACCCUGAGAACCCGAUUGUGCAGCAGUUUAUGCAGCGCUGGGAGCGACUAGAUGAAAGAGAAUUCCCAGAAGCCCGAAACGCUCCUCUGAAGUACACUUCAGCUCUGACCCACGACGCCAUCCUGGUGAUUGCAGAGGCCUUCAGGUACCUGCGGCGCCAACGUGUGGAUGUCUCUCGCCGAGGCAGCGCUGGAGACUGUCUCGCCAAUCCCGCCGUACCUUGGAGCCAAGGCAUCGACAUCGAGAGAGCUCUCAAAACGGUCCAAGUGCUGGGCAUGACUGGGAACAUCCAGUUUGACAACUACGGCCGCAGGACCAAUUACACCAUAGAUGUUUAUGAGAUGAAAACAGGUGGGCCGAGGAAGAUUGGGUACUGGAACGAGUACUCGCGAUUUGUAAAUAUUAUGGACCCGCAGGUCUCCAACGACUCCUCAGUGGAAAACCGAACGAUUGUGGUCACUACUAUUAUGGAAGCUCCUUAUGUGAUGUACAAGAAAAAUUAUAUGCAUCUGGAGGGGAAUGACAGAUAUGAAGGCUACUGCGUCGAUUUAGCAUCUGAGAUUGCCAAACAUGUUGGAAUUAAGUACAAACUGUCUAUAGUAAUGGAUGGAAAGUACGGAGCCCGAGACCCUGAGACCAAGACGUGGAACGGGAUGGUGGGUGAACUGGUCUAUGGGAGAGCAGAUAUAGCCGUUGCACCUCUCACCAUUACUCUGGUUCGAGAGGAGGUGAUAGACUUUUCCAAGCCGUUUAUGAGCUUGGGCAUCUCCAUUAUGAUAAAGAAGCCACAAAAGUCCAAGCCUGGUGUUUUCUCCUUCCUGGACCCACUGGCCUAUGAAAUCUGGAUGUGUAUAGUGUUUGCCUAUAUUGGGGUGAGCGUGGUCCUGUUCCUGGUCAGUCGGUUCAGUCCUUAUGAGUGGAACCUCGAGGAACAGGAUGAGACCAAAGACCCCCAGACUCCCCCUGAUCCUCCCAAUGACUUUGGCAUCUUCAAUUCCCUCUGGUUCUCUCUGGGCGCCUUCAUGCAGCAGGGCUGUGACAUCUCCCCCAGGUCUUUGUCAGGCCGAAUCGUCGGUGGUGUGUGGUGGUUCUUCACCCUCAUCAUCAUCUCCUCCUACACAGCCAACCUGGCUGCCUUCCUGACUGUGGAAAGAAUGGUCUCUCCUAUAGAAAGUGCCGAAGAUCUGGCCAAGCAGACAGAGAUAGCAUACGGCACGCUGGACUCAGGCUCCACAAAAGAGUUCUUUAGGCGAUCCAAAAUAGCAGUGUAUGAGAAGAUGUGGUCAUACAUGAAAUCCGCUGAACCCUCAGUGUUUGUUAAGACCACACCCGAUGGCGUAGCCCGGGUACGAAAGUCAAAGGGCAAGUUUGCCUUUCUCCUCGAGUCCACCAUGAACGAGUACAUCGAGCAGCGGAAGCCGUGCGACACCAUGAAAGUGGGAGGGAACCUCGACUCGAAAGGCUACGGUGUGGCGACGCCCAAAGGCUCAGCAUUAAGAAAUGCUGUUAACCUGGCAGUUUUAAAACUGAAUGAGCAAGGCCUCUUGGACAAAUUGAAAAACAAAUGGUGGUACGACAAGGGAGAGUGCGGCAGCGGGGGAGGUGACUCCAAGGUCAGCCUCGAUGUCACCACAAUCGGGUACCAUAGUGCAGAGUAAUCGGCAAGGCUGUUACGACAACCCAACCAUAACCAAACCAACUGUCCACCCCAACCAACCUGCUGCUGCCCCGAGGCAGAUUACCAAAUUUAUUAAAUGUUUGACCAGAGGGUUUAACAGCUCAGAUCAAACUACGGAGCUCUUGCUUAUCCAACAAGAAAGAAAAUACUCGUAGAAAUUAAUGGACACAAAAACGGUACAAAUGAGAGUCAGGAUAGAAGUUUUCUUUCUGUUUGAUAAUGUCUCAAUAAAACAUACCAGCUAAAUUUGUCUGCCCUGCAGCUGUGAGAGGUUGAGCUGCUUACAGACACUUACACAUGUGCAGGGCAGAUCACGUAGAUAUUAAGGUUUUAUCAAGCUAGCCAAUGAAAUCUCACAGGUGUAAUUCAAAAAGAGACUUUGCCGGUGACAUUGUACUGAAAAGGCCAAAACCUCCAGACUUCUAUUAUGAAGGUGAGGUUUGCUAAUCCUUUAAAAUAUGGCUUUGCAGUACUUCACCGCACAGCUGCCUGACAUCCAUGACACUGGCCCAGAACCUAUGAGCUUAAAAGCCAAUUCUACUUAAUGGCAAAAAACCUCAAAAUAGCUGCUCAGCCGAGGCCGACAGGAAAGCAAGGGGAACAGCGGCGUCUUGAGGGGACUAAGCAUUGCAGGCAAACGUGAGAAUUCUAAUUAAACAAAGACCUGUGGUUUUCUUUUUGAAUGUGUGAUCUGAUAAACCACCUGUGGUUUGAUUUACUACAUGCAAUUCCUUCCUCAGUUCAACAAUUACUAACCCAGCUGUGACCCUCCUGACCAUCAGAUCUUUCCAUCCUUUUUUGUGCUCAAAUGAUGAAUGAUUUUUCCAUUAUGGCAGCUAAUGGUGCAAAGUGUGAAACCCCACUCAACCAUGACAACUUGGUGUAAUGCUGCUUAGAUUAUGUGCCAUUAAGCAUUGUGCUAUUUUCACAAAAUUACAUAUGAGGCAGUAGCAAUACAUUCUUUACAAUGCGGGUCAAUUUAAUGACAAAUGAUGCUGUCAGCACACAUGUGAUGAUGUGUGUCAGGUAAUUGGCUACAUUCCAGACAAUCUGCAAGGUCCCGUUGACUGCAGAUUGUGUCAUUACUCUCAUGGUUUGGACCACAAUGAACAGUUAAACAUUCCCACCGGAGGCUGCAUGUGGCACAUAUCAAAUAAAGUAUUGAUAAAUGCUGGGGUGUCAUUGCUGAAGAGAAUUUUUAGCUGUUCAAAGUACACAUUUUUCAAUGUAUUCUUAACAUUGCUAUGUUGUGAAGUCACAGGUCUCCCUGUGCUGCUCAGAGCAUUUGAAAGCAUCUGUCUCCUGUGCUGCCAUCGAUCUAAUAUCACGCACAGGUAUGUACUGUCUGUCUGUUUCCUGGCUUGUUUUGGCUCUCCAGGACUCAGUGGAAAGGCCCGAUUAGGUGGAAUAAAGUGCCCUGGAGCGCAGUGUUCCAAACAGUGAAUCGCUUGGCACAGUCCUCCUCACAACUCCAUGAUCCAAUGACAUCAGGAGAUGCGCGUAAUCAUGCGCGCAGCUGCAUGCACAUCCGCUCACACACAGUUCACACCGCUCUUUGUUGCCCUCGGGCACAACACAGUGCAGCCUAGAUUGAGUUUCAGACAGAGAGCAUGUUACAGGGUAAUUGCAUUGUUAAUCAAUGUCUCUCCAAGCCAAGACAAUGGUCUGGUCUUCCCAGUCCGCCUCUCCAGAUUGACUAUGAGGAAUAUACAGUGGUGUAAUCUUCUAUCAGUGUAUUAUGCAUUGCAUGGAUCCCCUAGGGGGACAUUGUUCCCAGGGAGUAGUCGGGUCACUCAUUUAUUGAUACACUAUUUUUCUUUGCUUCCAAUUUGCUUUUCGCUUUGACAGAGAUUGACCUAAACCACAAAUGAUCCACUCUUAUAUUACCACUACCAAAUGUGAUCUUCGUCUAGCUUUGCAAUUGUUUCUUGCCUGAAGUAAUUUAGCGCAAUAGAAAAUUAUGCUAAUUUAUGUUGACAUACAAUAUUAUACGUCAUGAUAUAACUUCUAGAGAUAUCAAACAGCAAGAGAGAGCUGUGUCAAAUAUUAGAUUAUGCAGCUACAGGCAAAUGUGAGAUGAAUUAUUCCGCUGAUACUUUUGAGCUUAGUCCUGCAGCUCUGUGCAGUUUGGUUGGGACACAAUCAUCAGACACUAAUCUGGCAUAAUUGGAAGAUAAGGUUCUCUUAGCGAUAUGUCAGGAUAGAAUGUGUAAGAAUUAAUUAAGCUUUCACUUUUGGGCAUAGUUACUUGAAUCUGAAAUUGGUUGUAAUACCUCCAGAAUUGACUAUUGUCAUUGUAGUGACAGCAGUUUGAGUUGUCACAGGACUAAACUAACACUGUAGAGGGAAAGGAAGAGUUUCCUGUUUGUUAAGACAAAGCUCCUAUUGGAAUGAAUUUGUUAAAUGCUGUACAGAAACCCUCUGUGACUACCUGCCCCCCAAACCAAUACACCUUGAUGCUUUUGGCCUUCAUAGACUUGCAGAUCGUACUUUCAGUACCUGCGUGUCGCCCUGUUAACAGCGUCUGCCGAUUACUCAAAGCGAUACGGGUAGGUCCUGGCUUUAGACUAGGGGUUAUGAAGGUAAUAGGUAGAAUGCCUGCUCUUUGUGAUGUUGACACAGCCAGGUGCCCUGCUUUAUCGCUUUGUAAAGUAUGUAGUAGUUUAAAAGUUGAAUAACAUAAAAUAACAUAAUAUAAUGUUAUUUAUGUUAUUUCCCACGUGAAGAACUCCUGUAAACCUUGCAGUAUUGAAACUCAGUGAACAAGGCAUCUUAGACAAGCUGAAAAACAAAUGGUGGUACGAUAAGGGUGAAUGUGGAACCAAGGACUCUGGAAGUAAGGACAAGACAAGUGCUCUCAGCCUAAGCAAUGUGGC